rnacentral:rRNA from 1 species
AGCAGUCGCCGCGGUAAUACAGAGGGUGCAAGCGUUAAUCGGAAUUACUGGGCGUAAAGCGCGCGUAGGUGGUUUGUUAAGUUGGAUGUGGAAUCCCCGGGCUCAACCUGGGAACUGCAUCCAAAACUGGCAGGCUAGAGUAGGGCAGAGGGUGGUGGAAUUUCCUGUGUAGCGGUGAAAUGCGUAGAUAUAGGAAGGAACACCAGUGGCGAAGGCGACCACCUGGGCUCAUACUGACACUGAGGUGCGAAAGCGUGGGGAGCAAACAGGAUUAGAUACCCCCGUAGUCCCUGUCUCUUAUAC